rnacentral:lncRNA from 1 species
CAUGUAACUAUGUACCAUUCAGAUGUACAACAUGUAACUAUGUACCAUUCAGAUGUACAACAUGUAACUAUGUACCAUUCAGAUGUACAACAUGUAACUAUGUACCAUUCAGAUGUACAACAUGUAACUAUGUACCAUUCAGAUGUACAAUAUGUAACUAUGUACCAUUCAGACGACAGUAUCUCUGGUCUCUCAUAUCAUCUCUGUGCUUCCAGUCAGUGUGUUAAGGUGGGCUGAGUGUUUAGUGAGAGGAGACGACAGUAUCUCUGGUCUCUCAUAUCAUCUCUGUGCUUCCAGUCAGUGUGUUAAGGUGGGCUAAGUGUUUAGUGAGAGACAGUUCCUGUGUAAAUAACAUACAAGCUCCUGUGUUACUACACAGUGGGGAUGUACCCCUCAAAUGGCACCCUAUUCCCUAUAAUAGUGCACUACUUUUGACCAAAGCCACAUACAGUAGGGCACCAUAUAUACCUCCCUUCCUCUUCUCCCUCCCUCUCCUUCUUCUACUUUCUCCCUCUCUCUCCCCCUUCUCCCUCUCUCUCCCCCUUCUCCCUCUCUCUCCCUCCCUCUCCUUCUUCUACUUUCUCCCUCUCUCUCCCCCUUCUCCCUCUCUCUCCCUCUUCUCCCUCUCUCUCCCUCCCUCUCCUUCUUCUACUUUCUCCCUCUCUCUCCCCCUUCUCCCUCUCUCUCCCUCUUCUCCCUCUCUCUCCCUCCCUCUCCUUCUUCUACUUUCUCCCUCUCUCUCCCUCUUCUCCCUCUCUCUCCCUCCCUCUCCUUCUUCUACUUUCUCCCUCUCUCUCCCCCUUCUCCCUCUCUCUCCCUCUCUCUCCCUCUCUCUCCCUCCCUCUCCUUCUUCUACUCCCCCUUCCCCUUCUUCCCCCUUUCUUCCUCUCUUCCACUCCCCUCUCUCCCCC